AACGGCCGUACCAUGCUGAAUAUAUCGGUUCUCGUUAGAUCACCGAAGUCAAGCAUCAUUGGGCGCGGUCAGUACUUGGGUGGGUGACCACCUGGCAAAUUUG
rnacentral:rRNA from 1 species